AUACGGAGGAUCCGAGCGUUAUCCGGAUUUAUUGGGUUUAAAGGGUGCGCAGGCGGGAGGUUAAGUCGGCGGUGAAAUUUUGCAGCUCAACUGUAAAAGUGCCUUCGAAACUGGCUUUCUUGAGUGUAGAUGAAGUAGGCGGAAUUUGUGGUGUAGCGGUGAAAUGCAUAGAUAUCACGAGGAACUCCGAUUGCGAAGGCAGCUUACUAAACUACUACUGACGCUCAUGCACGAAGGCGUGGGGAUCAAACAGGAGUAGAUACCCUGGUAGUCCACGCAGUAAACGAUGAUUACUGGCUGUUUGCGAUACACAGUAAGCGGCUGAGCGAAAGCGUUAAGUAAUCCACCUGGGGAGUACGUUCGCAAGAAUGAA
rnacentral:rRNA from 1 species